UGGGUACGUAGUGCUUGCUAGCAGAGGAGGGUCAGUACACGUCAGACAGGGAGCUGUGGUGUUUAAGGGCGCUGUGUGCAGCUUCCUUAUUUAACCUGGAUUUUCUCUCAACAAGACAGUGAAGCGUGCCAUGGGUGCCUGUGUGUGCUGGUGCAGGCGUAGUGCCUCCCGGGAGGUGCCUGGAUCUGCUCAUGAGAGCCAGGAAGGCUCAUAAUACUGUAUUGUAGUUGUGGGGCUCAGCAUGACAGCGCCUGGCGAAGCUCUAUGUAAGGUACAACGCGAGCCAAUGUUACCUGGACGUCCAUUUGUAGGAGUACCAAACCCAAGACUGCCUUAUCCCCAUCUGCCUCCCAUCACCCCCCCAGUACUCCAUGGUCCAGCAGCGACAUCAUUCCAUGUUUAAUAUGAUGCCAGCUGACGUAUUCCUGACACGGCUGUACCAGGAACAAGAAUCUGAUGGUGAAGGAAGGGGUGACGGUGAAGGUGGAGAGGUGCUGGAAGGGCUUCGUGUAGGGCAGGUGUUCUUAACCUUUUGAUGGUUCCAUACCCCCAAUGGAUUGUCGAAUAUGGUCCCAUACCCCCUUCACUUGACUGUUCAAAUAAUUAUCACCAAUCCUAUUAUUUGCCAGUAUGUCUUCCAGAUACGAGUAUUUCAAUCGCUUGAAUUUACUGUACUUUAGAUACGGAUUACUAGGAAAAAACAUAACCAUUGAUAAUUUUAUUAUUUUUUUUACUGAAAGCAAAAUUAAUAAAGUUAUACUUCCGUUUUAUUAUACAAAAAAUAAAUAAAUAAAUAAAUAAAUAAAUAAAAUAAAAAACAGAACAUAAAUGUGCAAGUUUUUAGUCCCAGAAAUCGAGUCCCAGACCCCCAGCCUUUGGUUCCCAUACCCCCAAGGGGUAUGGAUAUCCCCGGUUAAAUACUCCUGGUGUAGACAUUCGCCAAGCAGACCAUGAAUGUGUGUGAGAGAAGUAAUCAUUGUAAAGGUAGAUUGUUUUUGGCUUUGUUUCUUUGUUGAUUUAUUUAUUUGUCAUUGUAAAGGUAGGUAAGUUUUGGUUGUAUUGUCUGUCUUUUUAUUUAUUAAUUUUAUUCAUUUAGUUUUAUUGAUUUAUAUAUUUUCUUUCAUGGGAAGUUUUGUGAAGUGUGUUUUAAAAGAAGUCUGU